rnacentral:lncRNA from 1 species
CAGCUCCCGAGCCCCGAACGUCCAUAUCCGGGUUCCCUCCGCCGCUGCCGCCGCCGCCGCCGCCGCUGCCGCUUCGCUCUUCUAGCCCUGUCAGGAGUGGUGUGAUUCCCGACCAAGAUGGCGGCCGUGGGGCGAGUCGGCUCGUUCGGUUCAUCUCCACCCGGGCUAGCCUCGACUUACGCCAGCGGACCCCUAGCCAACGAGCUGGCUUCGGGCAGCGGCGGCCCCGCGGCGGGCGACGAUGAGGACGGGCAGAACCUUUGGUCCUGCAUCCUCAGCGAAGUCUCCACGCGCUCGCGCUCCAAGCUCCCGACCGGGAAGAACGUGCUGCUGCUGGGUAAGUGAUCUCUGCUGUGGCUGGGGUGCACGGUCACAUCCGCUCGCCCACUGCCUUUGUGCGGACAGUCGGCCGGGCUGCGCCCCGCCUCCCGGCUUGCGGCUGACAGCUGGGGGACAAGGGGUCCCCGGUCCUUCCGGCCUGGACCCUCUGGUCUUUUCUCCACCCUGGGAUGUGGGGUGGCUCUGUCAUCUCCACUGGGAGAGACAGAAUGAAAAUAACACCCGAGGGAAUCCCAGUGGUCUGGGAUUCUACCUAGAAAAAUGGGGACAGUUUUUCUGAAAGAGCAUUGGUAGCAUGAGGGCUCUUGGAGAGAGCUCCAGCGCAAAUGCAUGCCAUUAAUAUUUAAUAGCUGACUCUUUUGUGUAAUUGACAGGAGCCAGGGACUGGGUCGUGAUGAGUGUUAUUUGAAUCAGCGUUCUCCCGUUCUCCCAGUGCUGGGUGCUCGGGUUGCAGUUGCCUUUUUAACUGUCACCUAAUAACUCUGAAAUUUGUAAAGGGCAGUAGAACAGCGUUCUCAUUUAGUGCCUUCAGCCGAAUGACUAGAGUAAGGGAGACAUGUCUCUCGCCCUUCUCCUAGGUAAUUUUUUUUUUUUUUUUUUUUUUUUUUUUAUCUACUGGCUGCAAAGUAGGGAUAAAGGACCAAGGGACAAUAAACAAUCCUGGCUUCACAUUUUUGCAAGUCUUUCCAGCCCCAGGAGAAAUUGCAACCCCCACCUUUUCUUUUUACUUGCAGGAUAUUGGGGUGUAUAAUAGGAUGGCAGUAAUAUUUUAAAACUUGGAAGUGGGUGUUUCAAGACUUCAGAUUCUUGAUUUUAGCCAAAAGGCGGAGGGAGAGGCUGUGCCUGAGGAGUUUUAGUUAUGUAUGUCUAAGAAUUGCUACCUGAGAUGCUCCACAGGUGACAGUGAAUGAGUAGGUAGGAAGAAAUGACUCAUUUUCUGUGAUCCUCACCAAUGACAAGCAUAUGCCUGUGUUGUCGAAAGCUGUGGUCAAGCUCGUUGAAAAAUCAGUGUUGUGCCUUGCCCAGCUUUUCCUGUGAUUGAAAGCACCACGUGCAGCGUGCAGAUAGCCAGGACUGAAUAAAGGGCCCGUCAAGUACAAACGAUUCGAGUCUACUGGUGUCCGCAAACCUCAGUUCAUUCACCUUGCAAAUGAGAGUUAUGGGAAAACAGUGGCUGCCUCCUAGAGCUUCGGGAGGGUCAGAUGGUCCACCGUGUAAAGCCAGGUAGCACAGACUUAUGAUAGACUUGAGUGAAUGAGAAAGCAUUCCCGGGAAGUCUUUAACCAGUGGAUUAGGGAUGGCAGUGGAGUUGCCGCUCUGCCUGCUGCUUGCAUUGCUCUGUGCCCAGGAAACCCAUCUUCUUCCUUAAAAGCAAGAAAGGAUUACUGCCUAAAUAAGUGGUAUCAAUAGGGCAGAGGUAAAAUAGGGCCCCAAAGCAACAAAACAAAAACCAGUUCCAGGGAAUGGUUCUAAUUACUAAUGUAGACAGAUUACUAAUGUAGACAGAUCGUGUGUUGGUAAAGUGAACUUAAGACUGAAUGACCCCCUUGGAGUGGAUUCUGUUUAGUUACUCUGUUAAAUAGAUUUCUUUACGAAUCUCAACAGUAAAAAUUGGCAGUCUUUGACCUUUCUGGUGUUUUCUAGAUCCUUCUGACAUUGGGUCAGUCUAUAAGACUUGAGGUACAUAGAGGCCCCACACUCCUAGGCUAGAUUUUCUUUUGAUGAACUUGAUAGUUCAGAAAGCUCCAUCCGGUGUCAUUAUAUAAGCUUGAAAUGUCGUGUUUUUCUUUCAGUACUGUUAGGGUGAGCCCUUUUCAGGUUUGGGAAAGGCUAAUCGUUGAUUUUUUAAAAUACUGUUUAUGCAAAUGCAGUUACUUUCCAAACUUCCUUUAAAGAGUGCGUGGAGGGAUUAAAUGGUUAGGUAUUGUAAGCAGUGUUUAGUCUGCGGUGGUAGAGAAAGGACAUACACAGUGGGUGUUACAGUUGUCUUUGUUCUGAGUUGUAAGGUAUCAGGCCAGGGAGAUGCUUGACUCUAAUCUCUCACUCAUGAAUGAUGGUAGUGUUUUGGAGUCUAAAUUCAAAGAAAAGAAAGCCAGUCUGAGCCCAUUAACAAGACUUUGAAUUUCAGAAUUAGCCUAGUAAUAAAUAGCCUAAGAAAGGAUGAUAUAUAGGCCUCUGACUGAAUCCCUUGCAUAUCCACCCUGCAUAUCCACACAUCACAAUUUAACCCUUAGCUUGCUACUUUACCUGUCCUCCAAGUAGGAUAAAAACACAGGC